GCGUUGUCCGGAAUUAUUGGGCGUAAAGAGCUCGUAGGCGGCUCGUCGCGUCGGCUGUGAAAACCUGGGGCUCAACCCCGGGCCUGCAGCCGAUACGGGCGAGCUAGAAUUCGGUAGGGGAGACUGGAAUUCCUGGUGUAGCGGUGAAAUGCGCAGAUAUCAGGAGGAACACCGGUGGCGAAGGCGGGUCUCUGGGCCGAUAUUGACGCUGAGGAGCGAAAGCGUG
rnacentral:rRNA from 1 species